ACACCCGCGGGGGAGGAGAGAAACAUUUCGGGGGGGAAAACUCCUUUUUUUUGGAAAAAAAAGGACGGGUUUAUUUGAAUAAGCCCCGGGUAAAUCCGUGCCAGCAGCCGGGGUAAUCGGGGGGGGCAAGGGUUACUUGGAAAUCCCGGGGCGUAAAGAGCAUUUAGGCGAAUAGAUAGUUGGGAAGUAAAUCCUAUGGCUUAACCCAAGAACUGCUUCCAAAACCGUCUAUUUGGAAUAUUGGAGAGGUAGAUGGAAUUCUGGUGUAGGGGUAAAAUCCGUAGAGAUCAGAAAGAAUACCGAUUGCGAAGGCGAUCUACUGGAACAUUAUUGACGCUCAGAUGCGAAAGCGUGGGGAGCAAACAGGAUUAGAUACCCUGGUAGUCCACGCCCUAAACGAUGCACACUAGUUGUUGCCUUGCUAGACAAGGCAGUAAUGCAGUUAACACAGUAAGUGUGCCGCCUGGGGAGUACGGUCGCAAGAUUAAAACUCAAAGGAAUAGACGGGGACCCGCACAAGCGGUGGAGCAUGUGGUUUAAUUCGACGAUACGCGAAGAACCUUACCUGGCCUUGACAUAGAAAGAACUUACUAGAGAUAGUUUGGUGCUAGCUUGCUAGAACUUUCAUACAGGUGCUGCACGGCUGUCGUCAGCUCGUGUCGUGAGAUGUUGGGUUAAGUCCCGCAACGAGCGCAACCCUCGUGUUUAGUUACUAACAGUUCGGCUGAGGACUCUAGACAGACUGCCUACGCAAGUAGGAGGAAGGUGAGGACGACGUCAAGUCAUCAUGGCCCUUACGGCCAGGGCUACACACGUGCUACAAUGGGGCAUACAAAGAGCCGCAAUACGGUGACGUGGAGCAAAUCUCAUAAAAUGCCUCCCAGUUCGGAUUGUAGUCUGCAACUCGACUACAUGAAGUUGGAAUCGCUAGUAAUCGUAGAUCAGCUAUGCUACGGUGAAUACGUUCCCGGGUCUUGUACUCACCGCCCGUCACACCAUGGGAGUUGAUUUCAUUCGAAGCGGGGAUGCUAAAAUAGCUACCUUCCACAGUGGAAUUAGCGACUAGGGUGAAGUCGUAACAAGGUAACCGUAGGAGAACCUGCGGUUG
rnacentral:rRNA from 1 species